CCCUUGGAGCGUUACAUCAAACGAAAGUAGUCGCAGUAUGGCAAAAUCGGAUGCUAUGAACAGGGAA
rnacentral:sRNA from 12 species